rnacentral:tRNA from 1 species
ACACUAGUGGUCUAGCGGUUAGAACGCUGGCCUUGUAAUCCUGGGGUCUCGGGUUCGAUUCCCGGCAGUGCC